AUUGAACGCUGGCGGCAUGCUUUACACAUGCAAGUCGAACGGUAACAGGCCGCAAGGUGCUGACGAGUGGCGAACGGGUGAGUAAUGCAUCGGAACGUGCCCAGUCGUGGGGGAUAACGCAGCGAAAGCUGCGCUAAUACCGCAUACGAUCUAUGGAUGAAAGCGGGGGACCGUAAGGCCUCGCGCGAUUGGAGAGGCCGAUGUCAGAUUAGGUAGUUGGUGGGGUAAAGGCUCACCAAGCCAACGAUCUGUAGCUGGUCUGAGAGGACGUCCGGCCACACUGGGACUGAGACACGGCCCAGACUCCUACGGGAGGCAGCAGUGGGGAAUUUUGGACAAUGGGCGCAAGCCUGAUCCAGCAAUGCCGCGUGCAGGAAGAAGGCCUUCGGGUUGUAAACUGCUUUUGUACGGAACGAAACGGUCCGGGUUAAUACCCUGGGCUAAUGACGGUACCGUAAGAAUAAGCACCGGCUAACUACGUGCCAGCAGCCGCCGUAACAC
rnacentral:rRNA from 1 species